GCCAGCGCGUGCGUGUCAUCGCGAUGUUGUGUACGUGUCGACGAGGCCAAGGGGUUGAGCGUCGGUUCGGGGUUGCUUUGACCGGGGGUCCGUUCUUCCUUCGCUAUUUCUUGGUUGCGGCGGCAACUCUGCUCCUCCUCUUCGUUCGUGAAUUUGCGGCGGUGCGUGCGGUUCUUCGGCGGCGUCUCUGUAGCCGCCGGUCUUCUCCGCCGCGUCUGCUUGUCUGAGCUGGUUUGACAUGCUAUCAAACAAUCUGCAAUCUCAAAAGAGUUCUAAGCUCCCUAGCUUUUGAGCAGAAGUCGAGGGAUCUUACGGAUUUGCAGCACAGUGCUUUAGUCUGCCUCUCCCGAAGAGGAUAGCCUGCGCCCAGGAGAAGCUACAUGGGUAGGUACAGAAACGCUUAGAGCUGCAGACACUGCCUAUCAAGCCCUGUUUGUUUAGCACCAAAGAUAUGUUUAUGGAGCACAUCUGAUGCGCAUGAUGCUCUAGAUUGGAGGAGGGCGAGCAUCUUCAGCUACAACUGAACAAGCCUAAGAAAAGUGCUCCACAAAAUUUAAACACGGGUAUCCAAGAACGGCGCAGCAGGGCGCGCUAGGUCCAUCUAGUUUUGUUCUACCUUCUAUCUAACUAUGUAUCCUGUCGUGUACUCUUAAAAAAAAACUUCUGCAGCUAAACUUUCUUCUUCUAUUUUAUCCUAAAAUAUAUUUACACCGCCAUGACGCAUUGCGGCGGUCAUUGC